GAUGAACGCUGGCGGCGUGCCUAAUACAUGCAAGUAGAACGCUGAAGGAGGAGCUUGCUCUUCUGGAUGAGUUGCGAACGGGUGAGUAACGCGUAGGUAACCUGCCUGGUAGCGGGGGAUAACUAUUGGAAACGAUAGCUAAUACCGCAUGACAACAGUUAUUGCAUGAUAACUGUUUAAAAGGGGCAACUGCUCCACUACCAGAUGGACCUGCGUUGUAUUAGCUAGUUGGUGAGGUAACGGCUCACCAAGGCGACGAUACAUAGCCGACCUGAGAGGGGGAUCGGCCACACUGGGACUGAGACACGGCCCAGAAGCCUACGGGGGGGAGCAGUAGGGAAUCUUCGGCAAUGGACGGAAGACUGACCGAGCAACGCCGCGUGAGUGAAGAAGGUUUUCGGAUCGUAAAGCUCUGUUGUACGGGAAGUACGAGAAUGAGAGUGGAAAGUUCACACCGUGACGGUAUCUUAGCAGAAAGGGACGGCUAACUACGUG
rnacentral:rRNA from 1 species